UACGGAGGGGGCUAGCGUUGUUCGGAAUUACUGGGUGUAAAGCGCACGUAGGCGGCUUUGUAAGUUAGAGGUGAAAGCCCGGGGCUCAACCCCGGAAUUGCCUUUAAGACUGCAUCGCUAGAAUUGUGGAGAGGUAAGUGGAAUUCCGAGUGUAGAGGUGAAAUUCGUAGAUAUUCGGAAGAACACCAGUGGCGAAGGCGACUUACUGGACACAUAUUGACGCUGAGGUGCGAAAGCGUGGGGAGCAAACAGG
rnacentral:rRNA from 1 species